UCAGCGUCUGCUCGAAGGUUUCGUUGGAACCAGGACGGGAGAGUCGGCUCUGCAGUGCCGGGUGGUUCAGGCCAAGGGCCCAGCCAUCAAGGGAUAUAAUGCAAGAGGAGCUACAGUUCUAUAGAACACAGCCUGAAAUACAAGGCAGUUCUUUCCAAGAGACUUGUGGUUGAUAAGAAAGUUGUGACCAAGAGGAUGAGCUGUACUUCAGUGGUCUCACAGAACUCAUGCAGCACUUCAGGAU
rnacentral:lncRNA from 1 species